GUACCCGUAGCCCAGCUGGAUAGAGUGACAGACUCCGACUCUGUAGGUCAUGGGUUCGAAUCCCAUCGGGUACG
rnacentral:tRNA from 1 species